UUCUACCAGGCGGGCCUCGUUGGCCGUCU
rnacentral:sRNA from 1 species